rnacentral:rRNA from 1 species
AUGAUGCCCAGCUUGCUGGGUGGAUUAGUGGCGAACGGGUGAGUAACACGUGAGUAACCUGCCCCUGACUCUGGGAUAAGCGUUGGAAACGACGUCUAAUACUGGAUAUGAUCACUGGCCGCAUGGUCUGGUGGUGGAAAGAUUUUUUGGUUGGGGAUGGACUCGCGGCCUAUCAGCUUGUUGGUGAGGUAAUGGCUCACCAAGGCGACGACGGGUAGCCGGCCUGAGAGGGUGACCGGCCACACUGGGACUGAGACACGGCCCAGACUCCUACGGGAGGCAGCAGUGGGGAAUAUUGCACAAUGGGCGAAAGCCUGAUGCAGCAACGCCGCGUGAGGGAUGACGGCCUUCGGGUUGUAAACCUCUUUUAGUAGGGAAGAAGCGAAAGUGACGGUACCUGCAGAAAAAGCACCGGCUAACUACGUGCCAGCAGCCGCGGUAAUACGUAGGGUGCAAGCGUUGUCCGGAAUUAUUGGGCGUAAAGAGCUCGUAGGCGGUUUGUCGCGUCUGCUGUGAAAUCCCGAGGCUCAACCUCGGGCUUGCAGUGGGUACGGGCAGACUAGAGUGCGGUAGGGGAGAUUGGAAUUCCUGGUGUAGCGGUGGAAUGCGCAGAUAUCAGGAGGAACACCGAUGGCGAAGGCAGAUCUCUGGGCCGUAACUGACGCUGAGGAGCGAAAGCAUGGGGAGCGAACAGGAUUAGAUACCCUGGUAGUCCAUGCCGUAAACGUUGGGCGCUAGAUGUAGGGACCUUUCCACGGUUUCUGUGUCGUAGCUAACGCAUUAAGCGCCCCGCCUGGGGAGUACGGCCGCAAGGCUAAAACUCAAAGGAAUUGACGGGGGCCCGCACAAGCGGCGGAGCAUGCGGAUUAAUUCGAUGCAACGCGAAGAACCUUACCAAGGCUUGACAUACACCGGAAACGGCCAGAGAUGGUCGCCCCCUUGUGGUCGGUGUACAGGUGGUGCAUGGUUGUCGUCAGCUCGUGUCGUGAGAUGUUGGGUUAAGUCCCGCAACGAGCGCAACCCUCGUUCUAUGUUGCCAGCGGGUUAUGCCGGGGACUCAUAGGAGACUGCCGGGGUCAACUCGGAGGAAGGUGGGGAUGACGUCAAAUCAUCAUGCCCCUUAUGUCUUGGGCUUCACGCAUGCUACAAUGGCCGGUACAAAGGGCUGCGAUACCGUAAGGUGGAGCGAAUCCCAAAAAGCCGGUCUCAGUUCGGAUUGAGGUCUGCAACUCGACCUCAUGAAGUCGGAGUCGCUAGUAAUCGCAGAUCAGCAACGCUGCGGUGAAUACGUUCCCGGGCCUUGUACACACCGCCCGUCAAGUCAUGAAAGUCGGUAACACCCGAAGCCGGUGGCCUAACCCUUGU